GAGACCCUGGUGGCUCCCAUACACGUAACAGCCCUCACUGCUCUUUGACGUUAGUGAAUAGACCGUAAGCUCCCUGGAGCAGGGACCUUGUCCCAGCGUCUACCGCGGCGCCCGUCACCUAGCUUCCUCCUUGGAGGGACCUCAGAAGUCCCAGGCUUCAUAGUGUCAAGUUCGACAGAAAGAGUAGUUUUCAUCUUUCCACAGUUCUUAGAAAAGUCCUGAGACUGAGUUUUACUGGGAUAACUUCCUGAUGUUGCCAUGGCAUCUGUAAAUUGUCAUGGCGCUGGUGGGAGUGUAGCAGUGAGGACGAACAGAGGUCACUCUCAUGGCCAUCUUGGUUUUGGUGAGUUUUGGCCAACUUCUUUACUGCAACCAGUUUUAUCAGCAAGGUUUUUAUGACCUGUAUCUUGUGCCGACCUCCUAAUUUAUCCUGUGACUUAGAAUGCCUUAACUGUCUGGGAACGCAGCGCAGUAGGUCUCAGCCUUAUUUUACCCAGUCCCUACUCAAGAUGGAUUUGUGCUGGUUUAAAUGCCUCUGACAGUAACACAGUCGUUUAUUAAUAGGAUCAAGUAUUAUGUACUGUACAUAAUUGCAUGUGCUGGGCUUUCAUCCGACUGGCAGUGCAGUGGGUUUCUGUACACCAGCAUCACCACACACAGGAAUGUGUGAGAUGACGUCAUAGCUGAUGUGACGUCACUAGGCAAGGGGGAUUUUUAGGUCCUUUUUUUUUUUUUGAGACGGAGGCUUACUCUGUUGCCCAGGCUGGAAUGCAGUAGCACGAUCUCGAUUCACUGCAACCUCCGUUUCCUAGGUUCAAGCGAUUCUCCAGCCUCAGUCUCCCGAGUAGCUGGGUUUACAGUCUCACGCCACCACACCCAGCUAAUUUUUGUAUUUUUAGUAGAGACGGGGUUUUGCCAUGUUGGCCAGGCUGUUCUUGAACUCCUGACCUCAGGUGAUCCACCCGCCUCGGCCUCCCAAAUUGCUGGGAUUACAGGCGUGAGCCACCGCGCCCGGUCCCAUUAUCAUCUUAUGGGACCACAGUCAUAGAUGCAGCUCGUUGCUAAGUGAACUGUGAUGCAAGGCACAUGCACGUGCUUAGUUCUGUUGCUACACAGAGUGUAUAGGAAAAAACUGGUUUGUCCCUCCCAUCCCCGAUUCCAGCUUCAGUUCCACCAGUCCUAGAGGUGUGCACUGAACCGGCUUUUUAGGACACUCUCCCGCUCCCACCGCCGCCAUAGACACAUAUCUUAAACACACACACGUCAUUGGGAAAAUGAUUAAAAACAAAAUCUGUCAACCCAGAAAACCUCUCCACAAAGGUAACAGGAAGUUAGUUUUGCUACAACUAGACAGCAGUGUGCAUCACAGACAGUCGGCUAAAGAGAUUGCAAAGAAAAAGAGCUUUCAUAGCCUGGCAGACACCACCCACUCCAUACGUGCUAAUUUCCCAAAUGCCUCCUGUCUUUUGACAAGAAGUUUACUUCCUGAAGCGAGCACCUGGGCCUCACACUCCUGAGGAUGGGGGAGAUCCGGCGCCACCUCCUGGCUGUUUCCAAGGCGGAGAGAAGGAGCCCGGGGCUGCAAAACCUGUCAGAGGAUCCCAGACUGAGGCGGACUCAGGGAGGUUUCCCACGCCUAAGAUUUCAUCCCUAACCAAUCAGCGAUCACCACUCCAAAACCCUUGAAAGCCCCCCCCAACUCCUCAGCGAGAUUGAGUGAUAACUCAAUCUCCAGGGUGGCCGGCCUCGGGUCAUAAACUAUUUCUUUACUGCAAUAAUAAUGAUACAAUAAAAUAAAUUUACAUACAUCUCAAGGAGACAGAGGUAGCGUUUACAAUUUCAGCUUUAUUAAAGGAAGUAGGAAGUGGGAGGGGGUGCCUUAUUCCCUUUCUUUGCACCGGAAAAAAUACAAUUUUUUUCUCUAGAUUUGUGUUUACCCUCACAACACACACACAUACUCAUAUACACACAUAUGUACAUAUACCCCAUUCACACACACACAGAUAUACACAAUAUAUGUACACUCAUGAACACACACACACACGUAUGCACACCAGUUUGGGCCAUAGUACCAAAAGACAGUCCCAAAUUCCAUAAUCCUGAAAGCUGAAAUCCUGAAAGAUCAAAAUCCCUAGAGUAUAGAAUCUUGAAAAUCAAAAUUUCAAAAGAUAAAAAUCCCCGAAACAUAAUUCUGGAAAAAAUAAUUUUAGAAUUCUCUAAAAGACAUUUAUUAACAUUUUUAAAAGGAGAUUUAUCUGCGCAAUAAAUAAAUGUGCCUGUUUACACCGAGAACAGAUCUUUCCCCUGAUCCAGUCAGACUCACGCACUCGUCUCCCCUGGAAACGCGCUCACAGACACCCCCAAAAUAAUGCCUACCAGGUUUCUCAAGUCUACAGCAGAGCCAGGCUUGUCAACUUGGCACCCAAACACAUCUCCUUAAACCACACUGAAUUUCCAAACAAAGAUAACAAAGCAAUAGUUCCACCCAACAUGCAACCAACAUGAUGCAAUGAUCCUGAAAUGCACUAAUCCUUUUCCUAGAAUUUGACUUUGAGGAUUUCAACAUCUGGAGUUUUGAUCUUUCAGGAUUUCAACACUCGAGAUCGUGGCAUCCAGGAUUGUGUCAUGGGAGAUUAUGAUUUUCACCAAUACAUACCCACAACUAUACAUACACACGUAUACACACCUGCCACACACAAUGUGCACACACUCAUCCAUAUAGCACCCCCUCAUACAUUCACACAUGGAUGUGUGUGUUCAGGGCCUUGUCCACACCCCACCAGCAGAGCCAGGGUGUGAGCUGAGUUCUUCACCUGCCUUUGGCGCUGGGCAUUGCACCACGGAGGCUGUCUCUCCUCAGUGGAGGGGAGGAGGAUGGUAAUGAUGCGCUUUAUCUAUAUUAAUGCAGGGGACCCUUACAUAGCCCACAAGCACUAGCACAGCCUCAUUUUACAGAUGGGGCAACAGGGCCCAAAGGAACUCAGCUAGCUUUGCUUUACUGUGUGUAGGCAGCCACGCAUUCUGCUGUGUGUGUGCACCAGGGUGUAUUUCACCAGUCCCACUCUCUGCUGUGCAAGAUUCCGGCACUUACAUCUGUAAUCCCAGCACUUUGGGAGGCUAAGGUGGACCGAUCACUUGAGGUCAGGAGUUUGAGACCAGCCUGGCCAACAUGGUGAUACCCUGUCUCUACUAAAAAAUACAAAAAAUUAGCCUGUGUGGUGGUACUCAUCUGUAAUCCCAGCUACUUAGGAGGCUGAAGCACAAGAACCACUUGAACCCAGGCGGCAGAGGCUGCAGUGAGCUGAGGUCAUGCCACUGCACUCCAGCCUGGGUGAGGGUGACAGAGUGAGACCUUGUCUC